rnacentral:rRNA from 1 species
CCUACGGGAGGCAGCAGUGAGGAAUAUUGGUCAAUGGGCGGAAGCCUGAACCAGCCAAGUCGCGUGAGGGAAGACGGUCCUAUGGAUUGUAAACCUCUUUAGGCGGGGAGCAAUGCCGGGCACGCGUGCCCGGAGGGAGAGUACCCGCAGAAUAAGCAUCGGCUAACUCCGUGCCAGCAGCCGCGGUAAUACGGGGGAUGCGAGCGUUACCCGGAUUGAUUGGGUUUAAAGGGUGCGUAGGCGGAUUUUUAAGUCAGCGGUAAAAUGUCCGGGCUCAACCCGGGCCGGCCGUUGAAACUGGGGAUCUUGAGUGGGCGAGAGGUAUGCGGAAUGCGUGGUGUAGCGGUGAAAUGCAUAGAUAUCGCGCAGAACUCCGAUUGCGAAGGCAGCAUACCGGCGCCCGACUGACGCUGAGGCACGAAAGCGUGGGGAUCGAACAGGAUUAGAUACCCCGGUAGUC